CCCGAGAGUAAGUGUCAAAUAAAAGUAUGUGUAACAUAAAUAUGCUCAUAUUUUUAUGAAUUUUUCGAUAUUCUCAAAAGAUCAUACUCGCAUAUGUCCAAAUGUGUCAGACAUGGAUGCAUUAAGCAAAACAUUGAAUCAACUAAAGCA